GGGAAAAGUGGGAAAUAGAAGAAGAAGGAAGGAAGAAGAAAGGAACAAGCUCAUGGAUUCUUCACCAUAUUCAUCCUCAUCAUCACCAAAUCAUCUCUAUUCCAUCAAUUUUAUCAUCCUCUUUUUGAAUCAAGGUGUCAAUCGAUUGGUUGCAGAACCAAUCGAUUGGUUCACGAUUCUGUGAAGAAAAAGCUAAAUUUUGCUGAUGUCAAUCGAUUGACUACAGUGCCCAAUCGAAUGGUCCUGUCAAUUUUAAAAAAAACACUUUACAAAAACUUCAUGUUAUCUUAUAUGUAAGAAAUUUAUAAAAUUGUAUUACUCUCCCUUUCAUCUGAUCAUAUUUAAUUUGUCACUGUUUGUUUUA